rnacentral:rRNA from 1 species
CAGUAUCAAUGCCACCCUCCCAGUUAAGCCGGMAUAUUUCAGCACUGACUUAUUAGGCCGCCUACGCACCCUUUAAACCCAAUAAAUCCAGACAACGCUUGCCACCUACAUAUUACCGCGGCUGCUGGCACGUASUUAGCCGUGGCUUAUUCACCAGGUACCUUCAAUUUUCCACGCAMGGAAAUUUUAUCCCCUGACAAAAGCAGUUUACMACCCAGAACGCCBUCUUCCUGCACACGGCAUGGCUGGUUCAAGMUCUCACCCAUUGACCAAUAUUCCCUACUGCUGCCUCCC